GCCCGGUUAGCUCAAUCGGUAGAGCGUGGGACUUUUAAUCCCAAGGUUGCGGGUAAGUCUCAGUUCGAAUCCUGGCGAUCGCA